AGUCUAGUACUAUAUUUAGUAGUGAAACCAAAUACAUCCUCUAAAAGAAGUUCAUUAUCACACAAGGUAACCAGAUUUUUGAAAUGCUGUAUCUACUUUCUUAUGUCUUGUUUCUCCUUUCAUGUUAUAAAUGUAAUAAAUGUGGGAAAGCUUUUAACCAGACUGCAAACCUCAUUCAGCAUCAGAGACAUCAUAUUGGAGAGAAGUGAUAUGAACAAAAAAACACAGGAACCAAAAUAGAAAAGAGUGACUCUAAAAACGGCAUUUAUCUUUUUGUUUUGAGACAGGGUCUUACUCUGACGCCCAAGCUGGAUUGUAGUGGUGCGAUCUUGGCUCACAGCAACCUUCAACUCUUGGGCUCAAGU
rnacentral:lncRNA from 1 species